rnacentral:tRNA from 1 species
GCCUCGGUGGCUUAGCUCGGUAGAGCGUUUGACUUGUAAUCAAAUGGUCGGGGGUUCAAGUCCCCCUCGAGGCUCCA